rnacentral:rRNA from 1 species
UACGUAGGGUGCAAGCGUUAAUCGGAAUUACUGGGCGUAAAGCGUGCGCAGGCGGCUUUGCAAGACAGAUGUGAAAUCCCCGGGCUUAACCUGGGAACUGCAUUUGUGACUGCAUGGCUGGAGUGCGGCAGAGGGGGAUGGAAUUCCGCGUGUAGCAGUGAAAUGCGUAGAUAUGCGGAGGAACACCGAUGGCGAAGGCAGUCCCCUGGGCCUGCACUGACGCUCAUGCACGAAAGCGUGGGGAGCAAAACGG